UUAUUAAAUUAUAAUCCCAAUCUAUGCAUCAAGCACCUGUUGAGUUUCGUAGAUCUCUUAUGUACUUGGAAAAAUGGCCUCUUGUCGAACUCUAAUUUUGUUUUUAUCCCCAAUUCUGCAGACAUAAAGAACCUUUUAUCUUGGAAUCCUCACAAGUAGAAGUACAGUCUUAAGUAAAAUAAUUGCACAAUCCUCAUUAACUGCUACGCUUUGGGUUUGUUCGUCGCUUCUGGAAAGGUACAUAUUGUUCGUUGCUUCAGUUUUCAGCUCCCUCCUUCCCUUUCUUGCAUCUGUGUAGUUCAUCUUUAACGGUCUUUUAUUCCCCAAAUAAUUAAGAGCCGAGAACCCACCUCCAAGUGUUCGACGAAAUGCUGGACGAUGGUUACUCUCUUUACAACCCAAUCACACAUAUUCAAAUUCCAUAACCCUUUAUUUCAUUUGAAUAAUCCACUGGUCCCUUCUCUAGUUUUUAUAGAUAAUGCCAAGAAAGGGGCUCGAAAUUAUAAAAAAGCUGCGAUCUUUAGCCGUUCAUAUGGGGUUCUUGAAGUGAAAAGGGCGAGGAGUUUUGAUAAUAAUAAUUAUAGUUCUUGGUGUUGUGGGUGUAAACAGAGUGAAGGUGAUAUAGAAUUGGAGGAGGAAAUAAUGGAGUUUAUGGAGAAAUCUGAGAAGCCAACGAUGUUUCCGACAAAGGAAGAGUUGGUAAGAGCCGGUCGAAUGGAUUUGGUGGAGGCAAUAAAGAAGAGAGGUGGGUGGUAUUCGCUUGGUUGGGAGGAUGAGAAUGAGAAAAAUUUGCAGGUGAAUGUAAAAGAAUCUAUGGAUUUUGACAUUGGAGAGUUUCAUAAGAGAGUUGAGAGUUGUAAAGAGAUUACUUCUGUGGGAGAAAAUGAUGUUAAUUCCUUAUCUGGGGAAUCUUUGGUUGAAAAUGAAGAGACACUAUCUUCUGGAGAUUCGAAUUCUUUGCAACUGGCUUCGUCCUCGGGCAGAUCACUAUAUUGAAUUGACUUCUAUUGUCCUUCGAUUAUUUUCUUGCUAUUUCAAUACUACAUCUGUUGAAGAUUAUUCAGUCAACCGAUGAAAAGAAGAAUACAGAAACCUGUAUGUUCUUUUGGAAGUAUUGACCUCACUUUAUGAAAUUUUGUUCUCCAACCAGAUGUUAAAUUCUAUGCUAGAGAAAUUGAGGCAGAGGAAGAUACUGGAAUCGAGGGUAUAUUGACUAGACUAGAGCGGCAGAGGAAUACUGAUUUUGGAAUUAAUUUAGGCAAAUAUGGAUAUCCAACUCAUUCCUCAAGUAAAGAUGAAAGGGAUGGUUGGCAUUUCCGAUUACCUCUAGAUGUAGGUAAGUUGGUUUUGUUGAAUUGGUAAUGAAUUGAUUGUAUGUUCUAUACGCUAAUUGGAUCACAUGGCUUUUGUA